UGUUGUUUCAGCCUUUAGCGAGAUUGUUCUUGAUACAGUCGUUUUCGAUGACUUUGAGAGGUUCCCACCGACUGCAGCUACAGUUAGCUCUUCUCUUCUUCUGGGAAUCUGUGGUCUACCUGAUACAGUUUUCCGCGGCUCGAAACCACUGAAUCUCGACUCUCUUGCAUUUCCAAUAAGGCUAUGGUCAACGUAGGUGGCGAUCUUGUCAAACUCGUUCCAGGUCGAGUUUCAACUGAAGUGGAUGCACGUCUUGCUUAUGACACAAACGGCAUUAUCCGCAAGGUUCAUGAUCUGCUGAGGCUAUACAAUGAAAUCGAUGUACCACACGACCGGCUCCUAUUCAAAAUCCCUGCAACUUGGCAAGGUAUUGAAGCUGCAAGAUUGUUGGAAUCUGAGGGAAUCCAAACGCAUAUAACCUUCGUUUACAGGUACCAU